UACGGAGGAUGCGAGCGUUAUCCGGAUUUAUUGGGUUUAAAGGGUGCGUAGGCGGUUUAUUAAGUCAGUGGUGAAAGUUUUCGGCUCAACCGGAAAAUUGCCAUUGAAACUGAUAGACUUGAGUGUAAACGAGGUAGGCGGAAUUCGUGGUGUAGCGGUGAAAUGCUUAGAUAUCACGAAGAACUCCAAUUGCGAAGGCAGCUUACUAGGCUACAACUGACGCUGAAGCACGAAAGCGUGGGGAUCAAACAGG
rnacentral:rRNA from 1 species